ensembl:lncRNA novel transcript
AGUCCAAGACAAACAGUGUAAAGGAAAAUGUCAACAAUAAAGUCAUCACUGGUGGGACCUCAAGGCAGCAGAGUGGAAUCACAACUAGAUCCUGCAAUGUAACUAAUCAAAAUCUUAUGAAUUUUUUUUUACAAAGCAGAAAUUCCAUACGUUUUGACCCACGAAGGGGAGAGCUUCAGCACAUGAAACAGAUUCGUCUGGAGUAAUAGGAAGUAUGUCCAAAUGAGGGAGGAGGCAUCCAAAAGGACAAGACCUGCUAAGCACUCUGAGAGCAUCGUCUACACCUGCUGCUUCCAGAUCAUCAUCUCCCAGUUGUUCCCAGCAGCCCAGCAGUCUGACUUCCAUCCCUACCAUCCCAACAGAACUGCCCUCGCCAACCUCCUCCACAUGCACCAUGGUCCGAAGAUAAUGAACACUGCUCAGGACUCGCCUAACUGGGACAAAAUUGAUUCCUAUCUGGACGUGCA